GACGAACGCUGGCGGCGUGCCUAAUACAUGCAAGUUGAGCGAUGAAGAUUGGUGCUUGCACCAAUUUGAAGAGCAGCGAACGGGUGAGUAACGCGUGGGGAAUCUGCCUUUGAGCGGGGGACAACAUUUGGAAACGAAUGCUAAUACCGCAUAACAACUUUAAACAUAAGUUUUAAGUUUGAAAGAUGCAAUUGCAUCACUCAAAGAUGAUCCCGCGUUGUAUUAGCUAGUUGGUGAGGUAAAGGCUCACCAAGGCGAUGAUACAUAGCCGACCUGAGAGGGUGAUCGGCCACAUUGGAACUGAGACACGGCCCAAACUCCUACGGGAGGCAGCAGUAGGAAUCUUCGGCAAUGGACGAAAGUCUGACCGAGCAACGCCGCGUGAGUGAAGAAGGUUUUCGGAUCGUAAAACUCUGUUGGUAGAGAAGAACGUUGGUGAGAGUGGAAAGCUCAUCAAGUGACGGUAACUACCCAGAAAGGGACGGCUAACUACGUG
rnacentral:rRNA from 1 species